AGCCUUGGAGGAAAACAGCGACAGGAAAGCAGUGAAUGGCUGGGAGUGGGACUGCGGGACAGAGCCACAGAGACAGGGGUCUAAGGUCUCUGGGCUCUCCAAAACCUAAAUAUAGCACAAGGUUAGACAUUGAUCUGAGUGUGUCCGGGACACAGCAGCUGGUACCUGUCUAGAAGCACAAGGUUAGACAUUGAUGGAGUGUCGGGAUGCAGCAGCUGGUACCUGUCUAGAAGCUAAGUGUGCAGAGCAGGCACUCGCCAUUACUUGGUGACUGAAGAACAGUCACGUGCUCUUACUGAGACUGUGCUGUGACAGCUGCUGCAGUGCCUAACACUUGGCAACUUUGAUAAUGUCUCCACUCCUGAGUUCCCUGUGAUCUAUAAUUCCUCCCCUCCACUUCCAGGUUAAAGAAUAUUUUGGUAAAAAAUAAAAACAGAAAUAAAUAAUAGUCAGUGUCCCAGAACUGUCUGUAAGCGGGGUGGCUGUGCUAUACCCUGCGGUCUGACUCCAGUCCUGACUCAUCGCCUGCAUUCCGACCAGGGGUCUGGGUGCCAACCACUCCCCCACUCCCCCAGGCUUGUUCUUUUCCUCAGUGUCCACCCUCUUCUGUGCUGAGCACAUGGCUAUCCAUCCAGGCUCUGCCUAUGGAUGCUUCCUUGGUGGCUGGCUGUCAGACACCUCUCUUCAAACCCUGUAACGGGCAUUAUGGAUGCUGUGGGACCAGGUAGUCUGGAACUGGGAAUAUUUAAAGUGCUUCUGUAGUUGUCUGAACACUGGUAUUUGUAGAGGACAAGACAGAGAGAUCACACAUUUCCAACCCCAUUUUCUGUAAUGGCCACCCUCAACAUAAGGUCCCCCACUUCAGGCAACAGGGCCCCCUGUUUCCAUCACACCCACUGCUAUCACAGUUUCGAGUGGUUGGCCCAGACCAGCAGGACCCAGUACUAUUGCUCGGUCCUAGCCACACUUCCCAUCCCCACCCUAAAGCAAAGGCUCUGGGGCCUGGAGCACAGCCUGGCACAGCAUCAGCUCCUGGCCUUCACUGAGGUGACAGCUUUCUGAGCAUCUUAGGACUUCUGAUGGCCAGUGCUCAAAGGACCCAACUAGAAGUGGCCUCGGCUCGGCAGGGGCUCCAGACCUUACCAGGUCCUGUGAGACAGCACAAGCAGGGCAGUUGCUGCCACCUUUGUUCUGCCGAGAGGGCUUCUGGCAACUGACUGACUCUGGGAUAGACUCUGAGGACACUGACUGGGAAACAUGGAGUCAGAAUCAGGGGUGGGUCAUGCUGAGAGUCUGGGUGGGGUUCCUUCACCUCACACUGUCUAAUUUGUACAACAGGUAUAAAGGUUUCCUCUGUCCUGCCUGGCCUUGGCUCUGCCCUGGCCUGCCUUGUGAGGCAGAGACUUCAGGCUGCCUGCUGUGAUGGAAGGUCAUGUGACUCAUCUCAACUCCGUCAUCUAUGAAAUGAUGAAUUACUCUAAACAACUCCAAGAAUCCCUUCUACCUUGAAGUGGCUGUGGCCAGCAGACAUCAUCACUCUCAAUGCUGUCUGUGCACACGUCCCCUGUGCCACCUUAGCGGUUCUAAGUCAACAUAUCGACUCUGUUAAUAAAAUGUUAUUUCUGAUUCAA